AUUUGGAGAGGAUGCUUUUGGCGCGGCGCCGUCCGAGUUCCUUGGAACAGGACGCCACAGAGGGUGAGAGCCCCGUACGGACGGACGCCUGGCCUAUACAAAGCUCCUUCGACGAGUCGAGUAGUUUGGGAAUGCUGCUCAAAAUGGGAGGUAAAUUUCUUCUAAAGCUAAAUACCGGCCAGAGACCGAUAGCGCACAAGUAGAGUGAUCGAAAGAUGAAAAGCACUUUGAAAAGAGGGUUAAAAAGUACGUGAAAUUGUUGAAAGGGAAGCGCCUGUGACCAGACUUGCGCCCCGUGGACCACCCGGCGUUCUCGCCGGUGCACUCCGCGGGGCGCAGGCCAGCAUCGGUUCUCCUAGGGGGACAAAGGCCGCGGGAACGUAGCUCCUUCGGGAGUGUUAUAGCCCGCGGCGGCAUGCCCCUGGGGGGACCGAGGACCGCGCUUCGGCAAGGAUGCUGGCGUAAUGGUCACCAGCGACCCGUCUUGAAACACGGACCAAGGAGUCAAGCAUUGGGGCGAGUGUAUGGGUGCCAAACCCGCACGCGAAAUGAAAGUAAACGCAGGUGAGAGCUUCGGCGCAUCAUCGACCGAUCCUGAUGUCUUCGGAUGGAUUUGAGUAAGAGCCUUACCGCUUGGACCCGAAAGAUGGUGAACUAUGCCUGAAUAGGGUGAAGCCAGAGGAAACUCUGGUGGAGG
rnacentral:rRNA from 1 species